GGGCUCACUUCAGCAGCACAUAUACUAAAAUUGGAAUGAUACAGAGAAGAUUAGCAUGGCCCCUGGGCAGGGAUGACAUGCAAAUUUGUGAAGCAUUCAAUAUUUGU
rnacentral:snRNA from 1 species